rnacentral:rRNA from 1 species
UACGUAGGUGGCAAGCGUUGUCCGGAAUUACUGGGCGUAAAGGGCGCGUAGGCGGCAUGUUAAGUCAGCUGUGAAAUCUCCGAGCUUAACUCGGAACUGUCAGCUGAUACUGAUGUGCUAGAGUGCAGAAGGGGCAAUCGGAAUUCUUGGUGUAGCGGUGAAAUGCGUAGAUAUCAAGAGGAACACCUGAGGUGAAGACGGGUUGCUGGGCUGACACUGACGCUGAGGCGCGAAAGCCAGGGGAGCAAACGGG